UGGGGAAUAUUGGACAAUGGGCGCAAGCCUGAUCCAGCAAUUCCGCGUGGGUGAAGAAGGUCUUCGGAUUGUAAAGCCCUUUCGGCAGGGACGAUGAUGACGGUACCUGCAGAAGAAGCCCCGGCUAACUUCGUGCCAGCAGCCGCGGUAAUACGAAGGGGGCUAGCGUUGCUCGGAAUGACUGGGCGUAAAGGGCGCGUAGGCGGUUUGCACAGUCAGGCGUGAAAUUCCCGGGCUUAACCUGGGGGCUGCGUUUGAUACGUGCGGACUUGAGGAUGAGAGAGGCUCGCGGAAUUCCCAGUGUAGAGGUGAAAUUCGUAGAUAUUGGGAAGAACACCGGUGGCGAAGGCGGCGAGCUGGCUCAUUUCUGACGCUGAGGCGCGAAAGCGUGGGGAGCAAACAGGAUUAGAUACCCUGGUAGUCCACGCUGUAAACGAUGUGCGCUGGAUGUUGGGAAGCUUAGCUUCUCAGUGUCGUAGCUAACGCGAUAAGCGCACCGCCUGGGGAGUACGGCCGCAAGGUUGAAACUUAAAUGAAUUGACGGGGUCAUAGCUGUUUCC
rnacentral:rRNA from 1 species